rnacentral:tRNA from 1 species
GCCGCCGUAGCUCAGCAGGUAAGAGCGCCGGACUCAUAAUCCGGAGGUCCCGGGUUCAAACCCCGGCGGCGGCACCA